rnacentral:misc_RNA from 1 species
UCGAAUGACGCCACCCGAGCUGUGCGUUCCUCGCACGCAAGGGUGUGUUCAUCAUCCUCACACCUGUGCACCUUCGGGCCUCUCUGAGGUCCGCCUUUUUUUCACACCAACUCGUCCGCGAAUGUUCAGUCUGUAUAUUUGUAAUAUACGUCA